GAAAGUUGGAUCCUGACUCAUGAUGAACGCUGUGCGGCAUGCACUAACACAUAGCCAGUCCCAACGGACGAUUACGAAAGCUUGCUUUCGUAAUCUUAAUGAGCGGACGGGUGAGUAACGCGUGAUCUAACCUGCCUCUCAUGACGGGGAUAACGUUCUGAACAUAACGCUACUACCGUAUAUCAUCACGAAACCGCAUGGAUUAGUGAUGAAAGGACUAAUCCGCUGACAGAUGGACUCGCGUCUGAUUAUCUAAAUGGUGGGGUAUCGGCUUACCAUGGCGAGGAUCAGCACCCGGACUGACAGGUUGAACGGUCACAUUGGGACUGAUACACAGCCCAAACUCCUACCGGAGGCAGCAUUGGCGGAUAUUGCGCUAUGGGGGAAACCCUGACGCAGCAAUGCCUCGUGAACGAUGAAGGUUCUCCGAUUGUGCACUUCUUAUGUCAAGGACUAAAAAUGACGGUACUUACCCAAUAAACUUCUGCUAACUAUGUGCCAGCAGCCGCGGUCAUACAUAUGGAUCACUCGUGAUCCGAACUGACUGGGUGUUGAGGUUGCGUAAGCGGCUACUCAAAUCAGAUGUGAAAUACACGGGCUCAACUCGUGGGCUGCAUUUGAAACUGUUUAGCUGAGUGAAAGUAGAGGCAGNCGGAAUUCCCGGUGUAGCGGUGAAAUGCGUAGAGAUCGGGAGGACACCAGUGGCGAAGGCGGCCUGCUGGGCUUUAACUGACGCUGAGGCACGAAAGCGUGGGUAGCAAACAGGAUUAGAUACCCUGGUAGUCCACGCUGUAAACGAUGAUUACUAGGUGUGGGUGGACUGACCCCAUCCGUGCCGCAGUUAACACAAUAAGUAAUCCACCUGGGGAGUACGACCGCAAGGUUGAAACUCAAAGGAAUUGACGGGGGCCCGCACAAGCAGUGGAGUAUGUGGUUUAAUUCGAAGCAACGCGAAGAACCUUACCAGGUCUUGACAUCCAACUAACGAAGUAGAGAUACAUUAGGUGCCCUUCGGGGAAAGUUGAGACAGGUGGUGCAUGGUUGUCGUCAGCUCGUGUCGUGAGAUGUUGGGUUAAGUCCCGCAACGAGCGCAACCCUUGCUAUUAGUUGCUACGCAAGAGCACUCUAACAGGACUGCCGUUGACAAAACGGAGGAAGGUGGGGACGACGUCAAAUCAUCGUGCCCCUUAUGACCUGGGCUACACACGUACUACAAUGGCCAUUAACAAAGGGAAGCAAAACCGCGAGGUGGAGCAAACCCCCAAAAAUGGUCCCAGUUCGGAUUGUAGGCUGCAACCCGCCUAUAUGAAGUUGGAAUUGCUAGUAAUCGUGGAUCAGAAUGCCACGGUGAAUACGUUCCCGGGCCUUGACACACCGCCCGUC
rnacentral:rRNA from 1 species